rfam:Glycine soja cultivar W05 scaffold1536_1, whole genome shotgun sequence.
UUACUGUUGGAUGAUGACUGUCACAUGUCAUAUUCUGAUUAGAUAUAAAUUCCAUGAAAGAUGAAAUACAUUGUUGUUUUCAUUGACCAAUCAGAAUAUGACACAUAACAGUCAUCAUUU